AUGCGGCGAUCUCGGGAAUGGCCUCGCUUAGCUAGUCAGAGCUCGUCCAACCCUGCUGAAAACUCACAAAACAGGACAGCACUGGGGGAUUGGGGAAAAGGUCUACAUUACAUCAUCAGGAAAACUCUUCAAAUAGGAACUCAAAUCUCAUAUACACUCAGAGACUGACAGUGAGCAUUGCGUGGUGCAUCAUCGGACAGGGGGCUGCCUACAUAACAGAACUCGGGGAUGGCAUUAUGCUCUGGGUCCUUGUAUGAGUAUAGUCUUCAACAAGGAAUGUACAUAGGAGAAUUACUGCUUGGUCUAUAUGAAAAUCACUGAGGACAAAGAGAUCUCCAGGGGAUCCCUGCCCUUUCAGUGAAUGGGGAGCAUCAACCUGCAAUCUGUCAUCCCCAGGAGGUAACAAAUCUAGAAGGGGGCUGCGAUUCUCCCAGGUUAUUUCUUCUUGAAGAAAUUUCCCAAGAACUAACGUUAGAUUUACAAGGUGCAUGGAAAGAUGCCGCUCCACCCCAGUAGUGCCACAGAGACUGGGAUUCUUUCAUCCAAACAUCAAGGUCCAGCACUGAAGAAGAAGAGAGUUAAAGAACAAUGAUGGAAAGUGAAGGAGAACGAAUAAAAAAGUUCUCAAUGGUUUUUA